rnacentral:rRNA from 1 species
GGGGAAUAUUGCACAAUGGGCGCAAGCCUGAUGCAGCGACGCCGCGUGGGGGAUGACGGCCUUCGGGUUGUAAACUCCUUUCGCCAGGGACGAAGCGUUUUGUGACGGUACCUGGAGAAGAAGCACCGGCUAACUACGUGCCAGCAGCCGCGGUAAUACGUAGGGUGCAAGCGUUGUCCGGAAUUACUGGGCGUAGAGAGCUCGUAGGUGGUUUGUCACGUCGUCUGUGAAAUUCCACAGCUUAACUGUGGGCGUGCAGGCGAUACGGGCUGACUUGAGUACUGUAGGGGUAACUGGAAUUCCUGGUGUAGCGGUGAAAUGCGCAGAUAUCAGGAGGAACACCGAUGGCGAAGGCAGGUUACUGGGCAGUUACUGACGCUGAGGAGCGAAAGCAUGGGUAGCAAACAGGAUUAGAUACCCUGGUAGUCCAUGCCGUAAACGGUGGGCGCUAGGUGUAGGGAUCUUUUGGGGUUUCUGUGCCGUAGCUAACGCAUUAAGCGCCCCGCCUGGGGAGUACGGCCGCAAGGCUA